GAGGAAUAUUGGUCAAUGGACGCAAGUCUGAACCAGCCAAGUAGCGUGCAGGAUGACGGCCCUAUGGGUUGUAAACUGCUUUUAUAUGGGGAUAAAGUGGGGAACGUGUUCCCUUUUGCAGGUACCAUAUGAAUAAGGACCGGCUAAUUCCGUGCCAGCAGCCGCGGUAAUACGGAAGGUUCGGGCGUUAUCCGGAUUUAUUGGGUUUAAAGGGAGCGUAGGCCGUUUGGUAAGCGUGUUGUGAAAUGUAGGAGCUCAACUUCUAGAUUGCAGCGCGAACUGUCAGACUUGAGUGCGCACAACGUAGGCGGAAUUCAUGGUGUAGCGGUGAAAUGCUUAGAUAUCAUGAAGAACUCCGAUUGCGAAGGCAGCUUACGGGAGCGCAACUGACGCUGAAGCUCGAAGGUGCGGGUAUCGAACAGGAUUAGAUACCCUGGUAGUCCGCACAGUAAACGAUGGAUGCCCGCUGUUAGCACCUAGUGUUAGCGGCUAAGCGAAAGCAUUAAGCAUCCCACCUGGGGAGUACGCCGGCAACGGUG
rnacentral:rRNA from 1 species